rnacentral:rRNA from 1 species
UGGGGAAUAUUGGACAAUGGGCGCAAGCCUGAUCCAGCAAUGCCGCGUGUGUGAAGAAGGCCUGCGGGUUGUAAAGCACUUUGGGCGGGGAGGAAGGCCCCCGGGAUAACACCCCGGGGGAUUGACGUUACCCGCAGAACAAGCACCGGCUAACUCCGUGCCAGCAGCCGCGGUAAUACGGAGGGUGCGAGCGUUAAUCGGAAUUACUGGGCGUAAAGCGCGCGUAGGCGGCCCGGCCAGUCCGACGUGAAAGCCCCGGGCUCAACCUGGGAACUGCGUUGGAUACUGCCGGGCUGGAGUGUGGGAGAGGGGUGUGGAAUUUCCGGUGUAGCAGUGAAAUGCGUAGAGAUCGGAAGGAACACCAGUGGCGAAGGCGGCACCCUGGACCAACACUGACGCUGAGGUGCGAAAGCGUGGGGAGCAAACA